rnacentral:rRNA from 1 species
AUGCUGGAGGUAUCAGAAGUGCGAAUGCUGACAUAAGUAACGAUAAAGCGGGUGAAAAGCCCGCUCGCCGGAAGACCAAGGGUUCCUGUCCAACGUUAAUCGGGGCAGGGUGAGUCGACCCCUAAGGCGAGGCCGAAAGGCGUAGUCGAUGGGAAACAGGUUAAUAUUCCUGUACUUGGUGUUACUGCGAAGGGGGGACGGAGAAGGCUAUGUUGGCCGGGCGACGGUUGUCCCGGUUUAAGCGUGUAGGCUGGUUUUCCAGGCAAAUCCGGAAAAUCAAGGCUGAGGCGUGAUGACGAGGCACUACGGUGCUGAAGCAACAAAUGCCCUGCUUCCAGGAAAAGCCUCUAAGCAUCAGGUAACAUCAAAUCGUACCCCAAACCGACACAGGUGGUCAGGUAGAGAAUACCAAGGCGCUUGAGAGAACUCGGGUGAAGGAACUAGGCAAAAUGGUGCCGUAACUUCGGGAGAAGGCACGCUGAUAUGUAGGUGAAGUCCCUCGCGGAUGGAGCUGAAAUCAGUCGAAGAUACCAGCUGGCUGCAACUGUUUAUUAAAAACACAGCACUGUGCAAACACGAAAGUGGACGUAUACGGUGUGACGCCUGCCCGGUGCCGGAAGGUUAAUUGAUGGGGUUAGCGCAAGCGAAGCUCUUGAUCGAAGCCCCGGUAAACGGCGGCCGUAACUAUAACGGUCCUAAGGUAGCGAAAUUCCUUGUCGGGUAAGUUCCGACCUGCACGAAUGGCGUAAUGAUGGCCAGGCUGUCUCCACCCGAGACUCAGUGAAAUUGAACUCGCUGUGAAGAUGCAGUGUACCCGCGGCAAGACGGAAAGACCCCGUGAACCUUUACUAUAGCUUGACACUGAACAUUGAGCCUUGAUGUGUAGGAUAGGUGGGAGGCUUUGAAGUGUGGACGCCAGUCUGCAUGGAGCCGACCUUGAAAUACCACCCUUUAAUGUUUGAUGUUCUAACGUUGACCCGUAAUCCGGGUUGCGGACAGUGUCUGGUGGGUAGUUUGACUGGGGCGGUCUCCUCCUAAAGAGUAACGGAGGAGCACGAAGGUUGGCUAAUCCUGGUCGGACAUCAGGAGGUUAGUGCAAUGGCAUAAGCCAGCUUGACUGCGAGCGUGACGGCGCGAGCAGGUGCGAAAGCAGGUCAUAGUGAUCCGGUGGUUCUGAAUGGAAGGGCCAUCGCUCAACGGAUAAAAGGUACUCCGGGGAUAACAGGCUGAUACCGCCCAAGAGUUCAUAUCGACGGCGGUGUUUGGCACCUCGAUGUCGGCUCAUCACAUCCUGGGGCUGAAGUAGGUCCCAAGGGUAUGGCUGUUCGCCAUUUAAAGUGGUACGCGAGCUGGGUUUAGAACG